rnacentral:rRNA from 1 species
CAGUCGCCGCGGUAAAACGGAGGGGGCUAGCGUUGUUCGGAAUUACUGGGCGUAAAGCGCACGUAGGCGGCUUGGUAAGUUAGAGGUGAAAGCCUGGAGCUCAACUCCAGAAUUGCCUUUAAGACUGCCGAGCUAGCAGGUGAGAGAGGUAAGUGGAAUUCCGAGUGUAGGGGUGAAAUUCGUAGAUAUUCGGAAGAACACCAGUGGCGAAGGCGGCUUACUGGCUCAUACUGGACGCUGAGGUGCGAAAGCGUGGGGAGCAAACAGGAUUAGAUACCCCUGUAGUCCCUGUCUCUUAUAC